ensembl:processed_transcript Dleu2 deleted in lymphocytic leukemia, 2
GAAACUGCACAAAAAAUCGAGCUGGGGGGUUCCCUGGUCCCCGAUGUUGGGGCGGAGAGCGCGGCGCCGAGGGAGGGGGCGGCGCAGACCGGCCUAGGGGACACCUGGUCGAGCGCAGCCGCCGCUCCGCUCGAGCCCUGCGCUCCAGUGCCCCCACUGGCUGGAGAGCUCGCCCAGACCGGGGGUCUUCCUCCGUCGCUGACAGAUUUUAACCAUUAGAAGAAUACCAGUUCUGGAAAACAACCAAAGUUUCUUUGAUUGAAUGCCCAUGUAAUGCAUUGGAAUAUGAUAGGCGAUUAAGGUUUAACAAUGUUAAAAUGAAGAUAUUACUAAAAUGGCCCUCUAAAUAGCCCAACAAUUAUUAUUUUCUUUGUCCUAUGGAUUUGGCUUUGAAAGAUGUGCUGCUCUUAAUAAGCUUUUCAUUCUGCCGGCCAUACUUUUUCUCCCUACUCUGGACGCCUCUAGAUGACUCCAGCUGUGCUCUCCUUCGUAAUCUACACACCCUCCUCAACCAUACCCUGGACCAGUCAUGUCCUCAUCUCAGACACGACUUUUCUGCAUUAAUUCUCUCUCUCGGGCAGAAACCUACGUGUUCCUCUUCCAGAGAGCUGGUGAAGCCAAAGGCAUUCUCAUAAUGAUGCGCUACACCGACUGACAUUUACCAACUGUGUCAAAGCUACAGGAGCCAGGUAGACACUGCUGGAACUUUAACGGGAAUCAAACAAGUCUAUAAGAAGCACUGAGCUGUGCCACUACCCAAUCAGUGUUCUUCCAGAGCACACAAACGAAAGUGGGAGGAGCCUUCCAAUGAGAACUGUUGUGUGAUUAAUCAAUGAGGCUGACUAAAGCACACACUUAUAAUCCCAAUACUCAGAAAGACAGAGGAAGAAGGAUAUCAGCGCAAGGCCAACAAGGCUUCAAAGCAAGUACCAACCCAGUAUGGACCAUGAGACCCUAUUUCAGAAACAAAUAAUAAAAGCUUGAUGAAGCUGCAAAAAUUACUCAUUUUAUCAAUCCCUAUUCUUGUAUACUGAACUAUACACAAAGGCACUUGUGUGGCCAGUGGGUGCGGUCAGAAAGGAGUACAGGCUCACGUGACUCAGCUACAAGCUGAGACAGCUGCUGCUAUUAGGAAAACAAUGGAAGCCAGCAGUAUGUAGAUUUAGGGAGCUGACAAAUCCUGAAAAUGAAUAAAAUGAGCUGGGUACUUCCAGAAACACGAUACUUCUUGACCAUGAAAAGGAAAAAGGCUGGGUUUUUAUGUUAAAAUUUGAAUUUUUGCAAAAUGUACUUAUAAUCUUCCCAUUAAAGAUGCUGAUAAAUAGUAAAGU